GACAGAGGUCCCGAGCGUUAGGCGGAAUCACUGGGCUUAAAGCGUGUGUAGGCGGAUUUGUAAGUACCUUGUGAAAUCCCACGGCUUAACCGUGGAACUGCUUGGUAUACUGCUUAUCUUGGGCCUCUAGGGGCGAGCGGAACAAACGGUGGAGCGGUGAAAUGCGUAGAUAUCGUUUGGAACGCCAAUGGUGAAAACGCUCGCUGGGGAUGUGCCGACGCUGAGACACGAAAAGCCAGGGGAGGCGAAACGGGG
rnacentral:rRNA from 1 species